rnacentral:rRNA from 1 species
CAACAGGGAUUGCCUUAGUAGCGGCGAGUGAAGCGGCAAAAGCUCAAAUUUGAAAUCUGGCACUUUCAGUGUCCGAGUUGUAAUUUGAAGAAGGUAUCUUUGGGUCUGGCUCUUGUCUAUGUUUCUUGGAACAGAACGUCACAGAGGGUGAGAAUCCCGUGCGAUGAGAUGACCCAGACCUAUGUAAAGUUCCUUCGAAGAGUCGAGUUGUUUGGGAAUGCAGCUCUAAGUGGGUGGUAAAUUCCAUCUAAAGCUAAAUAUUGGCGAGAGACCGAUAGCGAACAAGUACAGUGAUGGAAAGAUGAAAAGAACUUUGAAAAGAGAGUGAAAAAGUACGUGAAAUUGUUGAAAGGGAAGGGCUUGAGAUCAGACUUGGUAUUUUGUAUGUUACUCUUUCGGGGGUGGCCUCUACAGUUUACCGGGCCAGCAUCAGUUUGGGCGGUAGGAGAAUUGCAAAGAAAUGUGGCACUGCUUCGGUAGUGUGUUAUAGUCUUUGUCGAUACUGCCAGCCUAGACUGAGGACUGCGGCUUCGGCCUAGGAUGUUGGCAUAAUGAUCUUAAGUCGCCCGUCUUG